ACGGCUCAGUAACACGUGGAUAACCUGCCCUUGGGUCCGGCAUAACCCCGGGAAACUGGGGAUAAUUCCGGAUAACGCACAUAUGCUGGAAUGCUUUAUGCGUAAAAUGGAUUCGUCUGCCCAAGGAUGGGUCUGCGGCCUAUCAGGUAGUAGUGGGUGUAAUGUACCUACUAGCCAACAACGGGUACGGGUUGUGAGAGCAAGAGCCCGGAGAUGGAUUCUGAGACAUGAAUCCAGGCCCUACGGGGCGCAGCAGGCGCGAAAACUUUACAAUGCGGGAAACCGUGAUAAGGGGACACCGAGUGCCAGCAUCAUAUGCUGGCUGUCCAGGUGUGUAAACUACACCUGUUAGCAAGGGCCGGGCAAGACCGGUGCCAGCCGCCGCGGUAACACCGGCGGCCCGAGUGGUGAUCGUGAUUAUUGGGUCUAAAGGGUCCGUAGCCGGUUUGGUCAGUCCUCCGGGAAAUCUGAUAGCUCAACUAUUAGGCUUUCGGGGGAUACUGCCAGGCUUGGAACCGGGAGAGGUAAGAGGUACUACAGGGGUAGGAGUGAAAUCUUGUAAUCCCUGUGGGACCACCUGUGGCGAAGGCGUCUUACCAGAACGGGUUCGACGGUGAGGGACGAAAGCUGGGGGCACGAACCGGAUUAGAUACCCGGGUAGUCCCAGCCGUAAACGAUGCUCGCUAGGUGUCAGGCAUGGCGCGACCGUGUCUGGUGCCGCAGGGAAGCCGUGAAGCGAGCCACCUGGGAAGUACGGCCGCAAGGCUGAAACUUAAAGGAAUUGGCGGGGGAGCAC
rnacentral:rRNA from 1 species